rnacentral:misc_RNA from 1 species
GGCAUCUGGAAUGGCUCUGUUACACAAAAAUUGGUCGUUUGUUUGUAAGACCUCUUUAGCCAUGGCGGAAGAAGAAACCACGACGGCGGUAACUCGUCCGAGUUUCAAACUCAUAAUUGGACCAUGUACCUUAGCCAUGGCGGCGAGUGACUUGUGAGGUUUGUGGCCGAGAUCCAAGAGAUUUCCGAUGAGCGGCAGAGGAUUUGGUCCCGG